AUGGACUCGAACCCCCGCCCUGGGACAGAACUCUGUGCACCAGUGGUGGCCGCAGAGGCUUGGAGAAUGGACUCGAACCCCCGCCCUGGGACAGGACUCUGUGCACCAGUGGUGGCCGCAGAGGCUUGGAGAAUGGACUCGAACCCCCGCCCUGGGACAGGACUCCGUGCACCAGUGGUGGCUGCAGAGGCUUGGAGUGUGGACUCGAACCCCCGCCCUGGGACAGGACUCUGUGCACCAGUGGUGGCCGCAGAGGCUUGGAGAGUGGACUCGAACCCCCGCCCUGGGACAGGACUCUGUGCACCAGUGGUGGCCGCAGAGGCUUGGAGUGUGGACUCGAACCCCUGCCCUGGGACAGGACUCUGUGCACCAGUGGUGGCCGCAGAGGCUUGGAGUGGUGGAUCAACCCCUGCCCUGGGACAGGACUCUGUGCACCAGUGGUGGCCGCAGAGGCUUGGAGAAUGGACUCGAACCCCCGCCCUGGGACAGGACUCCGUGCACCAGUGGUGGCCGCAGAGGCUUGGAGUGUGGACUCGAACCCCUGCCCUGGGACAGGACUCCGUGCACCAGUGGUGGCCGCAGAGGCUUGGAGUGUGGACUCGAACCCCCCCCCGGGACAGGACUCUGUGCACCAGUGGUGGCCGCAGAGGCUUGGAGAGUGGACUCGAACCCCUGCCCUGGGACAGGACUCUGUGCACCAGUGGUGGCCGCAGAGGCUUGGAGUGUGGACUCGAACCCCCGCCCUGGGACAGGACUCUGUGCACCAGUGGUGGCUGCAGAGGCUUGGAGUGUGGACUCGAACCCCCCCCCGGGACAGGACUCUGUGCACCAGUGGUGGCCGCAGAGGCUUGGAGAAUGGACUCGAACCCCCGCCCUGGGACAGGACUCCGUGCACCAGUGGUGGCCGCAGAGGCUUGGAGAAUGGACUCGAACCCCCGCCCUGGGACAGGACUCUGUGCACCAGUGGUGGCCGCAGAGGCUUGGAGAGUGGACUCGAACCCCCGCCCUGGGACAGGACUCCGUGCACCAGUGGUGGCCGCAGAGGCUUGGAGUGUGGACUCGAACCCCCGCCCUGGGACAGGACUCCGUGCACCAGUGGUGGCCGCAGAGGCUUGGAGUGUGGACUCGAACCCCCGCCCAGUGGUGGGGACAGGACUCUGUGCACCAGUGGUGGCCGCAGAGGCUUGGAGAGUGGACUCGAACCCCUGCCCUGGGACAGGACUCCGUGCACCAGUGGUGGCCGCAGAGGCUUGGAGUGUGGACUCGAACCCCCGCCCUGGGACAGGACUCCGUGCACCAGUGGUGGCCGCAGAGGCUUGGAGUGUGGACUCGAACCCCCGCCCUGGGACAGGACUCCGUGCACCAGUGGUGGCCGCAGAGGCUGGGGGGACAGACUCGCUGCCCUGCUCCUGCCCAGGGAGGGGAGCUUGGGUUUUGUGCAGUCCUUUGUUCUGGAGUCAUGUGCAGCCACCUUCUGAUGAGAAUAACGUGGACGGAUUUCAGGCAGGGAACUUCUUCCAUCUCAUCAUUAUUCCUUGUUCUGUUGGCUCUUCAAGGAGCAUUGUCUAG
ensembl:lncRNA